rnacentral:sRNA from 1 species
CACAGAAUAAGUCAUAAACUUUAGAUUAUCAUGCAGGGAAGCCCCUUUCAAAAUCGUGAUCGCGGUUUAUUCAGCGUUUAAAUGGAUAAAUGGUCAUCAAUUGACGACACAGCCAGCCGGACAUGGUAUGAAAAUUAAUCGUUUCGUAAAUGAAAGGCACACGUUUUAAAAGAUGAUCGUAUAUUAACAAUUUAAUUAGAAAGGUUUUCAGAGAAAAGGAGGGCUCGUAAUUAAUUUGAAUUUUCUAAACAUUGUUGUGUAAUACAAAGAAUUAUGUGGAAGAUGAUUAAUACUUGCGUUGAUAAACGUCAAAACCAAAUAAAACAAGUAAGUUCGGCCUGACCGAAUCUUAUAUACCCUCCAUUGUGGAUCGCA